rnacentral:rRNA from 1 species
CCUACGGGAGGCAGCAGUCGAGAAUCUUUCACAAUGGGGGAAACCCUGAUGGUGCGACGCCGCGUGGGGGAAUGAAGGUCUUCGGAUUGUAAACCCCUUUCAUGUGGGAGCAAAUUAAAAAGAUAGUACCACAAGAGGAAGAGACGGCUAACUCUGUGCCAGCAGCCGCGGUAAUACAGAGGUCUCAAGCGUUGUUCGGAAUCACUGGGCGUAAAGCGUUCGUAGGCUGUUUAUUAAGUCGUGUGUGAAAGGGGCGGGCUCAACCCGAGGACGGCACAUGAUACUGCGAGACUAGAGUAAUGGAGAGGGAACCGGAAUUCUAGGUGUAGCAGUGAAAUGCGUAGAUAUCGAGAGGAACACUGGUGGCGAAGGCGGGUUCCUGGACAUUAACUGACGCUGAGGCACGAAGGCGAGGGGAGCGAAAGGGAUUAGAUACCCCUGUAGUC